AACUUGUUUACGAGCUCGCUUCGAUUAGUGGGAUCUAAAUCCAUGCUGUAGAUAUUAGAUGUAAUGCCUAGCAAGCCAAGCGUAUCCGCCAUCCAAACAGCCAUACCUCCCGACAGAGUUCCUAACUCGAUGACUGUCUUAGGCUUGACCAUAUCAAACAACUGAUGGUACGAGACGUAAUCAAUAGGAGACUUGCAUAUAUAUCAAAGCCGCGGUAUCUCGCUAAGUACCUUCCAUUACUCGUAUUUUUCCUGGCUUGUGCAGGAACGUCUGUCCGAUCCUCCCUCUCGUUUAUACGUUGGAAACGUUUCGCACUCGACAACAUCUCGUUUCGUUUUAAAUCCUGCUUUUUGCGGAGUUCACUGUACGAGUCCGGUUCGUUGGCGAAUGGAGGACUGUACUUAUCGCCAGUUUAACGUAGACAUCGCUGUCUGCUGAGGAGGAGGACAAAUUCUGCGACAUUACUAGUUUGGCAAAAUACGUGAGUUGGUGAGGCAAGAAAACUAUACUUGGAAGCGCUUUG